UGCCAGCAGCCGCGGUAAUACGGAGGGUGCAAGCGUUGUUCGGAAUCACUGGGCGUAAAGCGCGUGUAGGCGGUUUGGCAAGUCUGGUGUGAAAGCCCGGGGCUCAACCCCGGAAGGGCACUGGAAACUACCAAGCUAGAGUACCGGAGAGGAGGGUGGAAUUCCUGGUGUAGCGGUGAAAUGCGUAGAUAUCAGGAGGAACACCGGUGGCGAAGGCGGCCCUCUGGACGGCUACUGACGCUGAGACGCGAAAGCGUGGGGAGCAAACAGGAUUAGAUA
rnacentral:rRNA from 1 species